AUGCGGGGGUUUGCGGUAGUCCUCCUGGCGGUGUGCCUGUGUGUUUUGUCCGUGCCAGGCCACGCCAGGCCCACCAGGCGCUGUAGCAGACAGGGAAGUCUAGAACGAGCGGUUUUCGGUCGCAAGAUUUUCGUGGGGAAUCCUGAGGACCUCCCCGAGGGCGAAGACGGUGCGAGUGUCAGCUCCGAAGAAGAAGAAGACGAGCUGUGUGAGGAAGAAGACGACGCCAGCUCUGAGAGUGAAGAACUCGAGUGGAGCGAAGACGACUGGUCUGAGUCUUGGGAGGAGGAAUGGGGUGACGUCGAAGACGACCCAAGUUGGGACGGGGGCGCAAUAGGCGAAGAGUUCCACGAAUGGGGUGAAGAACAAUCCAGCGAGGAAAACUCCAACGAGUCGAACGCAACAAAUGAGGAAGAUUCGUCGGAAGAGUCGGACGAGACAAGCGAAGUGAACUCAGAGUCGUCCGACGAACUUAGCGACGAAUCCGUAGAAUCCAGUGAAGAAACUAGCGAGGAAUCCGUAGAUUCGAGUGAAGAAACUAGCGACGAGUCCGUAGAAUCCAGUGAAGAAACUAGCGACGAAUCCUUAGAGUCGAGUGAAGAGGACUUAGAGUCGGAGGAAACAAGCGACGAAUCCACAGAGUCAAGUGAAGUGAGUGAAGAGUCUGAAGAAAACGUCUCAGUGUCCGACGAAAGUUCGAGCGAAGAAGCCGGGCGCCGUCCGCCGUUCAACGAAACGAACGACGAGUCUUCAGAGCAGAAUGAAACCGCCAGCCCCGAGACACCUGUAGACGGGGAUGGGACGGAUGUGGACGGGGAUGGGACGGAUGAGGAUGAGGAAGAGCGGUCCUCCCCACUGCAGCUGACCCGGAGCGCCGCCCAGUUUGAGAGCCUUGCCGACAACCGCUUCCUCGUCUCCAACCUUACAGAUGGCAUGAUGUACCUGCGGGAUUUCGGCUGGUUCGAGCCGGAUGAGCGGUUUGACAUGAUCACGGACACAAGGACUAUGUCUCCGGUCAUGCGCAGAGCCAUCACUAACUUCCAAAAGUUCGCCGGUAUCGAAGAAACAGGCGAACUUGACGAAAAGACGAGGGAGACGAUGCGGAUGCCCAGGUGUGGAUUUGCGGACACGGGGAAGAAGCUGGCCUCCUACACGACCCUCGGCAGCCGGUGGAGAAAGAACGACCUGACCUACCGCAUUCUCAACUUUACCCCGGACCUGCCACGGGCGGAUGUAGAGAGGGAGAUGAAGAGAGCUCUAGAAACGUGGUCUGAGUACACCCCGCUGCGGUUCCGGAGACUGACGGGCAGCACCCGGUCCGACAUUGAGAUCAGCUUCGCGUCGGGCAGCCACGGGGACGGCAAUUCUUUUGACGGGCCCGGGAGCACCCUGGCGCACGCGUACGGCCCGGGCAACGGGAUCGGCGGCGACUCCCACUUCGACGAAUCAGAGACAUGGACCAUCAACAGGGGAAACAGCCGUCCCAGAGGCAUUGACCUGCACCAGGUGGCGGCUCACGAGUUCGGGCAUGCCCUGGGGCUGGGGCACUCCCAGGUGAACACCGCCCUGAUGGCGCCGUUCUACCGGUACCAGUCCGACUUCCGCCUGGACGCCGACGACAUCAGGGGCAUCCAGAGGCUCUACGGUACCCCGCCGCGCCCUACAAACCGGCCACCCCCUCCCCCUGAACCGACCAACCGCCCACCACCCCCACCCCCCGACGCCGACCAACCGCCCACCACCCCCACCCCCCGAGCCGACCCUGCGGCCGCCCCCUCCGCCCGGCGGUGACCGGGACGCGAUGACGUGUAGCGGGGAGGCGUUUGAUGCCUUCGCCCGUCUGGCCAACGGAUCGGUGUACGCAUUCAGAGGUCGGUACUUCUGGAGACUGAACAGUGCCGGCGCGGACCCCGGGUAUCCACAGCUGAUCGCUGAUGUGUGGGACGGACUGCCGGCGGACGGGAUAGACGCCGCCGUGUACUGGCAGCCUAACGAGAGGACCUACUUCUUCAAGGGUGACCAGUUCUGGCGGUAUGACGGCGCCGUUCCUGACAGUGGCUAUCCCCGCUCCAUCAGACUCUGGCGUACCGUGCCCAACAUUGACUCCGCACUGUACUUCGGAGAGUGGCAGGAUAGGAGCAGGGCCUACUUCUUCAAGGGUGACCAGUACUGGAGGUACACGCAGGGCCCCAGGAGGCUGGACCGAGGCUACCCGAAGGCUCUCAGCCUGUGGAGAGGCUUCCCGGAUCGCCUGGACGCGGCUAUCCAGUGGACGAACGGCUUGAACUACAUCUUCAAGGGCGACCAGUACUGGAGGCUGGACUCCAACGGAGCCGCUGUGACCAACGCGGCUAACCCGCCGUACCCACGCAGUGUGGCUAAAUACUGGAUGGGCUGCUGAACAGCCUGUUCCAACUCUUUCAGUAGCUUACAACGUCUGUUAAAGGGGCAUUUUGUAACAUUUUUGCACCGAAUUCGAAAUUAAUUUUUUAAUUAAAAAUCUUUGUGAUAUUAUGAUAUCUUUUCACUUUUCGACAUACUUGUGCAAUUUUGUCACAUUUCUGACAUUUAUAGUUGGCGCUAAAAUACUCCAAUGAGGCACACUCAGUUUGUGGCACCACCACAAACUACCAGAAUGUAAACAAACAUGGCAAUUACAGCUGUGUUUCCAGCUUUUAAACACACUCUUUAAGGCGGCGAAUUUUGGCACUUCCACUUCUUGAAUGACUGUUAUUUGCAAGUUCAACUUACUAGUACUUUGUAAAGAAAUGACCGCCAGAAAAUUGACUUUUUGUAUCGUCCCAAUGUUUGAUAGUGCAGCAUUCCAAAGAGCAAAACCUGACAUGUAAAAAUCGUGUGAUCUUUGGUUCAUGUUGACAUGCACCAUUUAGUAAAAAUGUGGUAUGUGAAGGAUAUGCGAUGCAAGAAUUACUCGAAUGUUAAAUCGAGUUGUACCUUAAAAGUACGCUUUUAAAAAUCUAUAUUUUACGUGUUUGGCAAAUAGAUUUGAAUGAAAGAAAUUAUGAGAAGAACACACUUCAUUUAUUCCAAUUAAUUAAGAUGAAAUACAAACAUAUAAGAUACAGUUCAAUAUAGAUAAUCUGAAGAAUGAUAGAGUGAUUACUAUAGUCGUCCAAAGAGAAUGAUAUGACUAUAUACGAACAAAUGCGACUCUCUAAUUCUCACAUGGAAAGUGCUAACAACAUUUCUAAACACACCUUUGGUCAUGAGUGCUCGCGACUUUACCACUAACGCCAUGUUGAUUUGAUUAUAUGGACGGCAUCCUCUGGGAACCCCAAAACUGAUGCGAGCGUGAGAA